GGUGGCUCAGUGGUAGAGCGCUUGCCUUACAGGCAUGAGGCUCUGGGUUCAAUUCCUCAGCACCA
rnacentral:tRNA from 1 species